rnacentral:rRNA from 1 species
GACAAACCGUGCGAACGUUAUUCGGAAUCACUGGGCUUAAAGCGCGUGUAGGCGGAUGGGAACGUCGGUAGUUGAAAGCCCCCGGCUCAACCGGGGAAGUGGUGCCGAAACGACCCGUCUGGAGGGACGUAGGGGGACCUGGAACUUCCGGUGGAGCGGUGAAAUGCGUUGAGAUCGGAAGGAACGCCCGUGGCGAAAGCGAGGUCCUGGACGUCUACUGACGCUGAGACGCGAAAAGCUAGGGGAGCAAACGGG